GAGGACGUUGGAAGAUGUAAAUCUGGAAAAGGAAAAUGAUGUUGGAAGAUGGAAAAAUGCUCUAAAAGAAGCAGCCGACCUCGCUGGGAUGGAGUUGAAGAACACUUUCAACGGGCAUGAAGCAAAAUUUAUCCAACAAAUCGUUCAAGAUAUUUCACUAAAGCUACAUCUCAUUGACUUGAGCGUCGAUAGGAAGUUAGUAGGCAUGGAGACUCUGGUAAGGGGCAUCAUUUCAUCUUUGGAGCUUGAUUUAAAUGAUGUUCGGAUGAUAGGGAUCAAGGGGAUUGGAGGUGGUGGGAAGACGACUUUGGCGAGAGCUGUUUUUGAUCAUAUAUCCAUCUGGUUUGAAGGUA
rnacentral:lncRNA from 1 species